rnacentral:rRNA from 1 species
GGGUGCGAUCAUACCAACAUUAAUGCACCGGACCCCAUCAGAACUCAGCACUGAAGCGUACUUGUGCGAGAGUAGUACUAGGAUGGGUGACCUCCGGUGAAGUCCUCGUGUUGCACCCC